rnacentral:rRNA from 1 species
ACUAACAAGGAUUCCCCUAGUAACUGCGAGUGAAGCGGGAAAAGCUCAAAUUUAAAAUCUGGUGGCCUUUGGCCUCCGAGUUGUAAUUUAGAGAAGCGUCUUCCGCGCUGGACCAUGCACAAGUCUCCUGGAAUGGAGCGUCAUAGAGGGUGAGAAUCCCGUCUUUGGCAUGGACACACCAGGGCUUUUGUGAUGCGCUCUCGAAGAGUCGAGUUGUUUGGGAAUGCAGCUCAAAAUGGGUGGUGAACUCCAUCUAAAGCUAAAUAUUGGCGAGAGACCGAUAGCGAACAAGUACCGUGAGGGAAAGAUGAAAAGCACUUUGGAAAGAGAGUGAAACAGUACGUGAAAUUGUUGAAAGGGAAACGCUUGAAGUCAGUCGCGUCGACCGAGACUCAGCCUUGCCUCGGCUUGGUGUACUUCUCGGCUUGACGGGUCAGCAUCAAUUUUGCCCCUUGGAUAAUGGUGAGGGAAAUGUGACACCUUUACGGUGUGUUAUAGUCUCUCGUCGCAUGCAAGGGUUGGGAUUGAGGAACUCAGCACGCACCUUCGGGUGUCGAGGCUUUGCCUACGAUACGUGCUUAGGAUGUUGGCGUAAUGGCUUUAAACGACCCGUCUUGAAACACGGACCAAGGAGUCUAACAUGCCUGCGAGUGUUCGGGUGGAAAACCCGUGCGCGCAAUGAAAGUGAAAGUUGGGACCUCUGUCGUGGAGGGCACCGACGCCCGGACCAGACCUUCUGUGACGGCUCUGCGGUAAAGCAUGUAUGUUAGGACCCGAAAGAUGGUGAACUAUGCCUGAAUAGGGUGAAGCCAGAGGAAACUCUGGUGGAGGCUCGUAGCGAUUCUGACGUGCAAAUCGAUCGUCAAAUUUGGGUAUAGGGGCGAAAGACUAAUCGAACCAU